AAAAAGAAAAAUAUUAUCCGUAAAUGAUCUCUCUCAUAUUGAUUCAUAUAAACAUUAAUACAAGGGCGGCAAUAAGGCUUCCUUGGGUUACGUUAAGGUUAACCUUGCCAUCUUAUUAUAUAGAGUGCAAAUACAGCUCACCAACUUAAUGCAGUAACUUCUUUAAAGGUAGUGAAGGGUGCCAACUUACCUUGCCGCUAGAGAUAGCCACCAGAUGAUCACUGUACAACCAGCAGAGGCAUCAAAACUGAAAAAACACAUUUCAAGGUUUUCAGAAGUAACAGAGUGUCCGUUCUUCACGUGCACACCUGUGCAAUAAUAAUUUUAGUCUUGUCCUAUAUGUGAAUAAGAUAAAAACCUUAAAUAUGGGGGGCCGCAUUUUAAAUAUGGGACAAUAUCAUCCAAGAAAAUUCACUCACCUAUACCAGAAAGGCAGAGCAAGAUGGGAGAAGCAAGCAGCUUCCUUUCUCAUGAACUGUACAUGAAAUACUUUAAAAGCGUGCAACUUCCCUGCUGAUCGCAGCAUGUAG
rnacentral:lncRNA from 1 species